GACGAACGCUGGCGGCAUGCCUAAUACAUGCAAGUCGAGCGAACAGAUGAAGUGCUUGCACUUCUGACGUUAGCGGCGAACGGGUGAGUAACACGUAAGGAAUCUACCUAUAAGCGGGGGAUAACAUUCGGAAACGGGUGCUAAUACCGCAUAAUAUCUUCUUCCGCAUGGAAGAAGAUUGAAAGACGGCUCUGCUGGCGCUUAUAGAUGACCUUGCGGUGCAUUAGUUAGUUGGUGGGGUAAUGGCCUACCAAGACGAUGAUGCAUAGCCGACCUGAGAGGGUGAUCGGCCACAUUGGGACUGAGACACGGCCCAAACUCCUACGGGAGGCAGCAGUAGGGAAUCUUCCGCAAUGGGCGAAAGCCUGACGGAGCAAUGCCGCGUGAGUGAAGAAGGCCUUCGGGUCGUAAAACUCUGUUAUAAGAGAAGAACAAACUGUAGAGUAACUGCUACAGUCUUGACGGUAUCUUAUCAGAAAGCCACGGCUAACUACGUGCCAGCAGCCGCCGUAA
rnacentral:rRNA from 1 species